rnacentral:rRNA from 1 species
GACGAAGGUGGCGAGCGUUGUUCGGAAUCACUGGGCUUAAAGAGCACGUAGGCGGGCCGUCUUGCGUCCUGUGAAAUCCCCCGGCUCAACCGGGGAAUGGCAGGGCGAACGGGCGGUCUUGAGGCAGGUAGAGGUGUGGGGAACUCUUGGUGGAGCGGUGGAAUGCGUAGAUAUCAAGAGGAACGCCGGAGACGAAGGUGCCGCACUGGGCCUGUCCUGACGCUGAGGUGCGAAAGCCAGGGGAGCAAACGGG